ACGUUGGUGGCUCAGUGGUAGAGUUCUUGCCUUCCAUGCACGUGACCUGAGUUAGAUUCCCAGACAAUGUA
rnacentral:tRNA from 1 species